UGGAGAAAGAAGCCGUUUCUAACUACAGGCCAUGAAGUCUGUGUCUGCGGCACAUUGAUCCAAGACGUGAUUCUGUAGCCCUGCAUGCUACUCCGGAGUUCCCAUUCAGAGUCACUGGCUGCAGUACACAAAAGACGUCGCCAAAUGUCAUUUUGCCUCUGGCUGCACCUCAUUACCGUGUGGUAGCUCCUUACGUGCAAACAACCGCUGGUUUCUAGCAUAACAAGGAGACCCGCGGUGUCUGUAUCGAACAUAUUCCUCGGAGAAUGAGAAAUCUCCAACCUGGGAAGAGGAGAUCCUUGUUAAGCGGUGGAGAGAGACUGAGAUGCGCAUGCGCGUCACCUUCCAGCACUGCCUAAUUGCCCAUAAAUGUCAUUAAGUUGAGAAAUGUUUUCCACCAAAUUAGCUCCAACUCAUGAUGUCUAAUUAGCUGGGGAAGCUGAAAGAUAACUUAUCAGCCGGUGUUUGAGAAAACAUGUUUAACGGGUGACUUUGGGCCAGCCGUGAUGUGGAGGCAGUUCCGUAUCCGUGGAAGCCAAGCCUGAGCCCAGCGUGGGACUUGAAUUCCAAGCGAGUGAGUUCCCUGUCACUGUGCCUUGCUCACCGUGAAUACAAUUCAGAGCCGCCAUCGCUGCAGAGCACACUUGUCAAGCUCACCAGCAGAUCUUGCUAUUCAACAUGUCUUCAAAGAAAUACAUACAACUGCUAUCACAAAC
rnacentral:lncRNA from 1 species